rnacentral:lncRNA from 1 species
AACUCCAGGAGCAGGUGCCGAGGGCUGCACAGCUCUCCCAGGCAGUGAGGGCUUCCCCUGUUUUCAGAGUCUGUGUCUGUACAAGAUGAUCAGAGCCUGGGGGGGACCGUGAGCCCAUGGGAUCAGAGCCAGUGUGCAUCCUCUGUGGUCACAGUGGUUCUUUCUCCCACCUCUACCUUUUGUUAUUAUUUCAGAUCAAAGAGAUAGAAAGGUUCUCAUACUGGGCUCGUUUUUGAGGUGCCUGCCCCAGUGAUUGCCCUAUUACUUUCCGUCUGUGAAACUGUGGAUUUUAUUUUCCCCAUUACAGGAGAAGUAUGGGGUAAGAUCAGCCAGAGCAUGACAAUGCAGAAAAAAAAUCACCUGGCCAGUGUUCCAGCCUCAAGAAAGUUGCUUCCUUCAGAGAUGUCCCACUUCAAAACACCUGGGAGUUCCAAAGGAUAGGCUAAAGAUGCCUCUGCAAAGACCACAUCUCCAUCCUCCAGUGUUUCAGACCACAGACCUUCUUCCAGAAGCCAGUAUCUCAAAGUUGCUGACUUGCACUUGGGAACCAGGUUCUCCCACCUCAGAUGCCUUCAGUUCAGCCCAGGAGCUGCAUGGUCACUACAGAGCUAUGAGGCUAAUCAAUGUGGAUGCUGGAAAAGCAGACAGCAAACUCAUUUGGACCUUCCCUCCCUCCUGGGCCCUACAAAUGUAAAAGGAGGGCAGCUCCAGGAUUACCCAGUCUCAUGAAGGGAUAGAAGUUAGUCAGCCUUUCUCCCAUGCCCCUGACAGCGUAUGGAAGCAAAGAACAUCCAGCCAUUGGCUAGUGUUUAUUUUCUCUUCUUUUUUUUGAAGGAAUUUGAUUAUCAUAAUAAACUUUGAAUCU